GGUGGGGUAACGGCUCACCUAGGCGACGAUCCCAAGCUGGUCUGAGAGGAUGACCAGACACACUGGAACUGAGACACGGUCCAGACUCCUACGGGAGGCAGCAGUGGGGAAUAUUGCACAAUGGGCGCAAGCCUGAUGCAGCCAUGCCGCGUGUAUGAAGAAGGCCUUCGGGUUGUAAAGUACUUUCAGCGGGGAGGAAGGGAGUAAAGUUAAUACCUUUGCUCAUUGACGUUACCCGCAGAAGAAGCACCGGCUAACUCCGUGCCAGCAGCCGCGGUAAUACGGAGGGUGCAAGCGUUAAUCGGAAUUACUGGGCGUAAAGCGCACGCAGGCGGUUUG
rnacentral:rRNA from 1 species